GCAGAACACAGCCUGUUGCAUUCAGCUCAGAAGCCAUACUCUUAGGUUCGUGGUCCACCCCAAGCCUGCUAAGCUUCCUGGAGUUGGCUACAUAAUAGUUGCCUCCAUGAGGUCAGAGGUCAUCCUGCAGCUGGGACAAAGAUUCAUUUGCACUCAAUCUACGCCUUUUCUUCAAUUCCUGCUUUGAGUUCCUGCCCUGACAGUGUGUGACCUGCGGGUUGUAAGCCAAAUAAACCCUUUCCUCCC
rnacentral:lncRNA from 1 species